GAUGAACGCUGGCGGCGUGCCUAAUACAUGCCAGUCGAGCGAACAGACGAGGAGCUUGCUCCUCUGACGUUAGCGGCGGACGGGUGAGUAACACGUGGAUAACCUGCCUAUAAGACUGGGAUAACUUCGGGAAACCGGAGCUAAUACCGGAUAAUAUAUUGAACCGCAUGGUUCAAUAGUGAAAGACGGUUUUGCUGUCACUUAUAGAUGGAUCCGCGCCGCAUUAGCUAGUUGGUAAGGUAACGGCUUACCAAGGCGACGAUGCGUAGCCGACCUGAGAGGGUGAUCGGCCACACUGGAACUGAGACACGGUCCAGACUCCUACGGGAGGCAGCAGUAGGGAAUCUUCCGCAAUGGGCGAAAGCCUGACAGAGCAACGCCGCGUGAGUGAUGAGGGUCUUCGGAUCGUAAAACUCUGUUAUUAGGGAAGAACAAAUGUGUAAGUAACUAUGCACGUCUUGACGGUACCUAAUCAGAAAGCCACGGCUAACUACGUG
rnacentral:rRNA from 1 species